GAUGAACGCUGGCGGCGUGCCUAAUACAUGCAAGUCGAGCGAACAGAUGAGGAGCUUGCUCCUCUGACGUUAGCGGCGGACGGGUGAGUAACACGUGGAUAACCUACCUAUAAGACUGGGAUAACUUCGGGAAACCGGAGCUAAUACCGGAUAAUAUAUUGAACCGCAUGGUUCAAUAGUGAAAGACGGUUUUGCUGUCACUUAUAGAUGGAUCCGCGCCGCAUUAGCUAGUUGGUAAGGUAACGGCUUACCAAGGCAACGAUGCAUAGCCGACCUGAGAGGGUGAUCGGCCACACGGGAACUGAGACACGGUCCAGACUCCUACGGGAGGCAGCAGUAGGGAAUCUUCCGCAAUGGGCGAAAGCCUGACGGAGCAACGCCGCGUGAGUGAUGAAGGUCUUCGGAUCGUAAAACUCUGUUAGUAGGGAAGAACAAAUGUGUAAGUAACUAUGCACGUCUUGACGGUACCUAAUCAGAAAGCCACGGCUAACUACGUG
rnacentral:rRNA from 1 species